rnacentral:rRNA from 1 species
UACGUAGGGUGCAAGCGUUGUCCGGAAUUAUUGGGCGUAAAGAGCUCGUAGGUGGCGGGUCACGUCGGGUGUGAAAGCCCGGGGCUUAACCCCGGGUCUGCAUUCGAUACGGGCUUGCUAGGGUCCGGCAGGGGAGACCGGAAUUCCUGGUGUAGCGGUGAAAUGCGCAGAUAUCAGGAAGAACACCCGUGGCGAAGGCGGA